rnacentral:rRNA from 1 species
UACGUACCGUCCAAACGUUAUUCGGAAUCACUGGGCUUAAAGAGUUCGUAGGCGGCUCAGUAAGUUGGGUGUGAAAUCCCCCGGCUCAACCGGGGAAUUGCGCUCAAAACUACUGAGCUCGAGGAAGAUAGAGGUGAGCGGAACUGAUGGUGGAGCGGUGAAAUGCGUUGAUAUCAUCAGGAACACCGGAGGCGAAGGCGGCUCACUGGGUCUCUCCUGACGCUGAGGAACGAAAGCUAGGGUAGCGAACGGG